GACGAACGCUGGCGGCGUGCUUAACACAUGCAAGUCGAACGGUAAGGCCCUUCGGGGUACACGAGUGGCGAACGGGUGAGUAACACGUGGGUGAUCUGCCCUGCACUCCGGGAUAAGCCUGGGAAACUGGGUCUAAUACCGGAUAGGACCACUGCCUGCAUGGGUGGUGGUGGAAAGCUUUUGCGGUGUGGGAUGGGCCCGCGGCCUAUCAGCUUGUUGGUGGGGUGAUGGCCUACCAAGGCGACGACGGGUAGCCGGCCUGAGAGGGCGACCGGCCACACUGGGACUGAGAUACGGCCCAGACUCCUACGGGAGGCAGCAGCGGGGAAUAUUGCACAAUGGGCGCAAGCCUGAUGCAGCGACGCCGCGUGAGGGAUGACGGCCUUCGGGUUGUAAACCUCUUUCAGCACCGACGAAGCGCAAGUGACGGUAGGUGCAGAAGAAGGACCGGCCAACUACGUGCCAGCAGCCGCAGUAA
rnacentral:rRNA from 1 species